rnacentral:lncRNA from 1 species
GAGUGCUAAACAGGUUUGGGUCAGGCUCGUGACGUUAAACAAGCGCUACUUGGGAGGUAACCUAGUUGAUUGUUUUGUUUUUUAAUCCUGUGCAUGCAUCUGAGAGGGGAAGGCAUAUAUUUGAAAAAUUGAAGGUUGAAAUUGAGUGCUAUAAGGAAAGAUUACUCAAAAGAAAGCAAAAGAAGAAGAAGUGAAAUUUACUGCAGACCGCUGAGCAGUUGCGGCGCUGAGGGUCUCGGUUUUUCUUAAAAGCUGAGCGGUUUUCCAAGUUUUUCACUUUGAAACCCUUCUUUGCAUUUCGCCUGAGCGGUCUCCCUACGCCCUAGUACUCUCCUUUCACUUUUAAGAGCUUUUUAGAGAUUUCCUCACUUUCUCAUCACCCACUCACCAAAAAUUCAAUUUUCUACCAUUCCUUUGUCAAAGUUUGGGGUUUUUGGUUGAGGGACUUGCAAUGGAGAGGACAUUCAUCAUCAAUUGAUCAAUUUUUCUGCAAGCAUUCACAAUCUCCACUCAAGUAAGUAUGCAAAUUCAUGUU